rnacentral:rRNA from 1 species
AUUGAACGCUGGCGGCAGGCCUAACACAUGCAAGUCGAGCGGAUGAAGGGAGCUUGCUCCUGGAUUCAGCGGCGGACGGGUGAGUAAUGCCUAGGAAUCUGCCUGGUAGGGGGGGAUAACGUCCGGAAACGGGCGCUAAUACCGCAUACGUCCUGAGGGAGAAAGUGGGGGAUCUUCGGACCUCACGCUCUCAGAUGAGCCUAGGUCGGAUUAGCGAGUUGGUGGGGUAAAGGCCUACCCAGGGGACGAUCCGGAACUGGUCUGAGAGGAUGAGCAGUCACACUGGAACUGAGACACGGUCCAGACUCCUACGGGAGGCAGCAGUGGGGAAUAUUGGACAAUGGGCGAAAGCCUGAUCCAGCCAUGCCGCGUGUGUGCAGAAGGUCUUCGGAUUGUAAAGCACUUUAAGUUGGGAGGAAGGGCAGUAAGUUAAUACCUUGCUGUUUUGACGUUACCAGCAGAAUAAGCACCGGCUAACUUCGUG